AUGAAGCGACACGCUGCUAGCGUAGCGGUUUUGAUGUUCACAAAAACAACUCCUUUUUCUUUCUGUGGACCACACACUGAGCGUAUUUGGUAUUUGGAUAUUAUACUUAUCAAUGACCUGGUCAACCCUCUUAAUUAA
rnacentral:rRNA from 1 species